AUAGAGCUCUUUUGUCAGGGAAGAAACCCGGCUCUAACACAGCUCCGGGAAUGACGGUACCUGAAGAAUAAGCACCGGCUAACUACGUGCCAGCAGCCGCGGUAAUACGUAGGAUGCGAGCGUUAAUCGGAAUUACUGGGCGUAAAGCGUGCGCAGGCGGUUAUACAAGACAGGCGUGAAAUCCCCGGGCUUAACCUGGGAAUGGCGCCUGUGACUGUAUAGCUAGAGUGUGUCAGAGGGGGGUAGAAUUCCACGUGUAGCAGUGAAAUGCGUAGAUAUGUGGAGGAAUACCAAUGGCGAAGGCAGCCCCCUGGGAUAACACUGACGCUCAUGCACGAAAGCGUGGGGAGCAAACAGGAUUAGAUACCCUGGUAGUCCACGCCCUAAACGAUGCUGACUAGUUGUUCGGGAUUUACAUCCUGAGUAACGUAGCUAACGCGUGAAGUCAGCCGCCUGGGGAGUACGGUCGCAAGAUUAAAACUCAAAGGAAUCGACGGGGACCCGCACAAGCGGUGGAUGAUGUGGAUUAAUUCG
rnacentral:rRNA from 1 species